rnacentral:rRNA from 1 species
UACGAGGGGGGCAAGUGUUGUUCGGAAUUACUGGGCGUAAAGGGAGCGUAGGCGGGCUCUUAAGUUGGAUGUUUAAAACCGGGGCCUAACCCCGGCGUGGCAUCCAAAACUGGGAGUCUUGAAUGGGACAGAGGCCAGUGGAAUUAGAGGUGUAGCGGUGGAAUGCGUAGAGAUCUCUAAGAACACCAGUUGCGAAGGCGGCUGGCUGGGUCCACAUUGACGCUGAGGCACGAAAGCGUGGGGAGCAAACAGG